AGGACGAACGCUGGCGGCGUGCUUAACACAUGCAAGUCGAGCGGUAAGGCCUUUCGGGGUACACGAGCGGCGAACGGGUGAGUAACACGUGGGUGAUCUGCCCUGCACUUCGGGAUAAGCCUGGGAAACUGGGUCUAAUACCGGAUAUGACCUCCUAUCGCAUGGUGGGUGGUGGAAAGAUUUAUCGGUGCAGGAUCGGGCCCGCGGCCUAUCAGCUUGUUGGUGGGGUAAUGGCCUACCAAGGCGAGA
rnacentral:rRNA from 1 species